GAGUUUGAUCGUGGCUCAGAUUGAACGCUGGCGGCAUGCCUUACACAUGCAAGUCGAACGGCAGCAUGAUCUAGCUUGCUAGAUUGAUGGCGAGUGGCGAACGGGUGAGUAAUACAUCGGAACGUGCCCUGUAGUGGGGAUAACUAGUCGAAAGAUUAGCUAAUACCGCAUACGACCUGAGGGUGAAAGUGGGGGACCGCAAGGCCUCAUGCUAUAGGAGCGGCCGAUGUCUGAUUAGCUAGUUGGUGGGGUAAAGGCCCACCAAGGCGACGAUCAGUAGCUGGUCUGAGAGGACGAUCAGCCACACUGGGACUGAGACACGGCCCAGACUCCUACGGGAGGCAGCAGUGGGGAAUUUUGGACAAUGGGCGAAAGCCUGAUCCAGCAAUGCCGCGUGUGUGAAGAAGGCCUCGGUU
rnacentral:rRNA from 1 species